GACUAAUGGCUGCUUUACAUAUAAAUGAGAAGGUUUGUGCUAGGAACUGUAAAAAAAUACAAUCACUCAGCUGACGGGCAGGCUCCUUAUCGUGGAUGCAGGAGAGGGACCACCAGAAAGGCCCCACCAAAAAAAAAAGCACAUCUGGGCAGAGAGUGUCGGAACAGAAGAGCUAUGUUGUCCCUUGCACCUUGAAGUGAUGAGCAUUGGCAGAUCUCCUGAUCUCAGCCUGGGGCUGCUGACGGUUCAGGUCCAUUUCAGAGAGAGAGAGAGAGCAACAUGCAUGGGGUGAACCUCAAAAGAGAAAAUCUCUGAGACAGGCUGUCUAGACAUUGCAGAUGUGGACAGAUGUUGGGUCUGUAAUUUAUAACAACGGCCUCCAGAAGGCAAUUCCAAUUUGUUUCGACACAUCAGAAGAGGGCAUCGGAUCCCAUUACAGAUGGUUGUGAGCCACCAUGUGGUUGCUGGGAAUUGAACUCAGGACCUCAGGAAGAACAGACAGUAUUCUUAACCGCUGAGCCAUCUCUCCAGCCCAUCACCUGUUACUUAAGGACGUCUGAACUACUGAAGGAAGACCAGAUAUCUCAACAGGUUUUCCCUGUGUAGCCCUGACUAUCCUGAAACUUGCUCUGUAGACUGGGCCAGCCUGCAACUCAGGUAUCCACCUCUGCCUCCCUGGGGCUGGGUUGAAAGGUGUGCUCCACCACUGCCCAGGCAGAUUUGUAAAACCCUGAGCUCUGAGCAUCUAUCUGCUCCUUGAAGACUUUUGUGCCUGGUGCAUUCAACUCUGAUGCCUUCAGAGAUGCCUCAGAGCCCCGGGCCGCAGUUAAGGUGACGAGAUGCAGCAAUUCUUUAUGAACAUUUCAUUCCUGCUCGCUACACGACGUAAAUUAGAUGGUGUGUUACAUUCGGGCAAUAAGAGAGAUAUGUCACCACGACGCUGGCCCAUUGGAUGGAGAGGGGGUUUGGCGAAGAGCGGAAAGGAUUUCACCCUGAUGUGCACACUACUGAGUGACCCCGCUCACCAGCGGCUCUGCUGAUUGCUUUGCACCUUGCAGACUUCGAUACUGGCUCAGCCUCUUGCCGGCCUCGCUCCCUCCGCUCCCUCUGGGUCUCCAGCCCACCCUUCCCCUGCCUGGCUUUCUCUUGAAGCCAAAGCCAAGAGACCUAACAGAGGAGUCACAAAGGUCACGAAGGGAUGGAUGUCUCUGUGGGGAGGAGCAGGGCGGCAGAGCUAACACCAAAAUAAAACAAAAAUCCUUCAGGGA
rnacentral:lncRNA from 1 species